rnacentral:lncRNA from 1 species
AAGUGGUGCAAAUUUGUUCCAGGCUUUUUUUUUUAAAUAAACCUUUCAUUAAAGAACAGAACAUGUGUUACUGAAGCCAGUGUGAACGCAGCAUAAUGCCACCAAUAAUCUCCUGACUGUGACAUCUGUGUGCAUUCAGGUACAGAAAGGUCCCGAGUGACAGGUGUGAAGGAGGUUUUGCUCCUCGCCUCUCGGCGCAGACGGUCCGUCCCUGUGCGACGCCAAGCACCAGCUCUCCUCUCACGUCAACGUCUUACGUCUCACACUUUGACACACCGGUCAGUAGGUCAGUCACGCACCGUGUAGGCUAAUUUUGCAGCUUGCAUGUCAACUAGUGUACACAUCCCCCAGGAGGAAAGGCUGGUGUUGAUCCUGGUGUGUGCAGGAGCAGCCGUCAUCGUCCUCACAGCUGUUAGCUCAGCAGCUCUUGUAGUCAGGAGGAUGGUCUACAGAACCAGGGAACCCGAGUAUCGUUUCUCCAACCUGCGCAGUCAGGAUGACAGCAGCUGCAUCACAGCAGACCUGCUGAGUACUACCAGCAGCAACGGUACAGUGUACCAGCAGGAAUCGGAUAACUUGUGAGAGUCAUUAUAAAAUGCUUUCUUAUUACUGAGCUUGUGGCUUAAGUGUGCAAACGGAUGAUUCUUUCCAUAGGAUCUUACAGGAUUUCACAGGAUCAGUGAAGCACAGCUCCAUUUCCCUGACAUGAUGAACGCUCAUCGUUGAAAGCCUCUGCACUAAAAACUAACCGCAAGCCACGCUUUCUUGGAAACGUCCCACCACUUUCAUGGAAGCCCCUUUGUGUCAAGUUUUUAUUUUUUAAUUAAUUAAAUAUUAAUGUUAUUCAUUUUUAUUUAUUAAGCACAGUUCUCAAGUUUCUUUUGUCUCUCUUUGAUUGCUGUAUUGGUUUGUUAUUGUUUUGUAAGCUUGUGAAAAUGAAAAGAAAUUUUAAAAAUCUUUAAAAACAAGCUGCAUUAAAAACCUUGUUGUUUGUUCAUUUGGUUAUAUUUGUCUAAGCUAUAUUUUUUGUUUUGUAAUAUUUUUUAUCAAAUGUUCACAGGAUUUCUUAGUAACACAUGAAAAAAAGUUUUAUGAAGUAAGGUGCUUUUCUUAUGCAGUU